rnacentral:SRP_RNA from 1 species
GCCAGGCGCGGUGGCUUGUGCCUGUAGUUCCCAGCUAUUCAGGAGGCUGAGGCUGGAGGAUCUCUUGAACCCAGUUCUGGGCUGUAGUGCACAAUGCCAAUAGUGUCCGCAUUAAGUUCGGCAUCAAUAUGGUGACCUCCCAGGAGUGGGGGACCACCAGGUUGCCUAAAGGGGGGUGAACCGGCCCAGGUCAGAAACGGAGCAGGUAAAAACUCGAGUGCUGAUCAGUAGUGGGAUCAUGCCUAUGAAUAGCCACUGCACUCCAGCCUGGGCAACAAAGUGAGACCCUGUCUCU